CCUACGGGAGGCAGCAGUGAGGAAUAUUGGUCAAUGGGCGCGAGCCUGAACCAGCCAAGUAGCGUGAAGGAUGACUGCCCUACGGGUUGUAAACUUCUUUUAUCAAGGAAUAAAGUGAGGCACGUGUGCCUUUUUGUAUGUACUUUAUGCAAACAGAUCGGCUAACUCCGUGCCCGCCUCCGAGGUAAUACGGAGGAUCCGAACUUUAUCCGGAUUUAUGUGGAUUAAAGGGAGCGUAGAUGGGUUGUUAAAGUAGUUGUGAAAGUUUGCGGCUCAAACGUAAAAUUGCAAUUGAUACAGGCAUCCUUGAGUAGAGUUGAGGUAGGCGGAAUUCGUGGUGUAGCGGUGAAAUGCUUAGAUAUCACGAAGAACUCCGAUUGCGAAGGCAGCCUACUAAACUGCCACUGACAUUGAUGCUCGAAAGUGUGGGUAUCAAACAGGAUUAGAUACCCGUGUAGUC
rnacentral:rRNA from 1 species